GACGAACGCUGGCCGCGUGCCUAAUACAUGCAAGUUGAGCGCUGAAGGUUGGUACUUGUACCGACUGGAUGAGCAGCGAACGGGUGAGUAACGCGUGGGGAAUCUGCCUUUGAGCGGGGGACAACAUUUGGAAACGAAUGCUAAUACCGCAUAAAAACUUUAAACACAAGUUUUAAGUUUGAAAGAUGCAAUUGCAUCACUCAAAGAUGAUCCCGCGUUGUAUUAGCUAGUUGGUGAGGUAAAGGCUCACCAAGGCGAUGAUACAUAGCCGACCUGAGAGGGUGAUCGGCCACAUUGGGACUGAGACACGGCCCAAACUCCUACGGGAGGCAGCAGUAGGGAAUCUUCGGCAAUGGACGAAAGUCUGACCGAGCAACGCCGCGUGAGUGAAGAAGGUUUUCGGAUCGUAAAACUCUGUUGGUAGAGAAGAACGUUGGUGAGAGUGGAAAGCUCAUCAAGUGACGGUAACUACCCAGAAAGGGACGGCUAACUACGUG
rnacentral:rRNA from 1 species